CGUGUAGGCGGUCAGGUAAGUUGGACGUGAAAGCUCCUGGCUCAACUAGGAGAGGUCGUUCAAAACUGCCUGGCUAGAGGGCGACAGAGGGAGGUGGAAUUCCCGGUGUAGUGGUGAAAUGCGUAGAUAUCGGGAGGAACACCAGUGGCGAAGGCGGCCUCCUGGGUCGCACCCGACGCUCAGACGCGAAAGCUAGGGGAGCGAACG
rnacentral:rRNA from 1 species